rnacentral:lncRNA from 1 species
UCUAGCAAGUCACGACAACUGACACCACCACCCUCCGUAACAAACUCCAUGUGGUCCCACCACUCUCUGACAAGUCACGACAACGGACACCACUCUACUCUCCGUAAUAAACUCUACGUGGCCCCACUACUCCACUCUCUGUAAUAGACUCCACAACUGCCCACUACCAGACAGUUACAGACGUCGCUGUCAAGCGGUUACGCUCUCCCAUCUAUAAAAGAGACCCCCCAGAUACGUUCUCCUCUAAGCUCUAAACUCUAUCUCGAAACUCUGCCAAAAUCUCAUUCGAGUGCUCCAUUUCUGUUGAAGCAGAGUACCGACUUGAGCAUCGGAGGAUCUUGCCGGAGCACCCCCAACUCUGGUUUAGACUUUCCUUGCAGGUCCCGACGGCGGCCGCAUCCCCCUCGACUCCGGCUCCAUCCGGUGUCAGCGACUUCCCUUGUAGGUCCCGACGGU